UGUAAAAGGAACUAGGCCUUAAGCCUUACUGUUUUAAGACUAUUCAUAUUAGACAUAUAACUAAUGAUUAGAAAUUGGUUUAGAUAUGAUUAAUAGAAUGCAGGUGCUUAUAAAACAAUAUCUAUGAGCUGCUUAAUUGUUCUAUGAGACUCCCUCUUCAUGGCUGGCUUAAAAUCCAGUCAAGCUGAAUCAACAGAGGAAGGAUCAUACCUCUUAGACCUAAGACAUGGGAGUAAGUGAUUAACUUUAGAACAAGAUAAAUUAAUGUAAUAACCUGAGUAGUUUUUUUAGAAAUUCAUAGGUACCUUUGAAGUGUAAGAAGAUAAGUGAUGAUGGUGACCGGAGACCUUCUGCCUAUGACCACCAAUCUCAGAAGAACCGAGACAUGAGAAUGGAGAAUGGAUGAGAUAAGAUGAUGAAUGAUAACGAUAUGAGAACAGAAAAUCGGCUGGAAAAUUACAGAGACUUCGGCUGGAAAAUUGCAGAGACUUUGGGUUGGGACAAUGGGUGGCAAAAGGAAUUGGUGACCCAGAUGGGACUCUAGGACACAAGAGAGAAAGAGAGCAACUGGAUAUUUCUCUGGACAAACCCGUUACCAAUACUCAAUUGCUGGC